AACAAUGGUAGCUCAGGCGGGGCAACUUUAGGGUUGACUGGGAUUCAUGGAGCCAGGACUGCAAACCCUGUUUGAGCUACCACCCAA
rnacentral:antisense_RNA from 1 species